UCAAGCCUUAUAUGGAGACUGUAUACAAGUUUAUUGUGUGCAACUAUUAAGGUCGUUGAUUCAGUGUGGAUCUCUAGGAACUUGACAGGGAGGCAUUUAUCUGUUGCUUGGUUGUUCUGGUGGGUGUGGUUAAUUGAGUAGGGGCUAGUCCCAGAUUUAUAGUUUAACUUCAAUUGCACAAUACUUUAGCAGGUGAGUUGCAAGUAUGUAUGUAAAACUGAAUUUUUAGUGGAAUUAAAUUUGUAAAAUUGGUUUUAGGAUGUCAGUUUCUAUACAUUUAUGUGUAUUUAUAGGUUUCCUUUUAU